UCCGGUUUGUCACCGGCAGUCUCCUUAGAGUGCCCAACUAAAUGCUGGCAACUAAGAACAAGGGUUGCGCUCGUUGCGGGACUUAACCCAACAUCUCACGACACGAGCUGACGACAACCAUGCACCACCUGUCACUCUGUCCCCCGAAGGGGAACGCCCUAUCUCUAGGGUUGUCAGAGGAUGUCAAGCCCAGGUAAGGUUCUUCGCGUUGCCUCGAAUUAAACCACACGCUCCGCUGCUUGUGCGGGCCCCCGCCUAUUCCUUUGAGUUUUAACCUUGCGGCCGUACUCCCCAGGCGGUCAACUUCACGCGUUAGCUUCGUUACCAAGGAAUUACUUCCCCGACAACUAGUUGACAUCGUUUAGGGCGUGGACUAC
rnacentral:misc_RNA from 1 species